UGAAAUGGAGGAGGACGUGUUAUCACAAGGACUAAUUCAGCUGACGUUUCACAGUGAUUUUGGUUAAGGGUUCCUCUAAGUCGGGCUGGCGACUUUAAAACUAGCGCUUGGUGGGAGGCAACCCACUGUUGGUUUGGUUUUAGUUUUUGUUUUUCUUGUUCUUUGCUUUCCGUUUUUUUUGUGUUUUUCUUGUCUUUUGUUGCUUGUGCGGUUGCUUUGAUUCUAGGUGUUCAUGUUUUUGUUUCCAGCGCUGCAUUUCUACUCUGACUUUGCCGCCAGCGCUGAAAAGUCCAGAACCAGAACUGAAAUUCCACUCUGAAAGGACCAGCGCUGACAUUUCUACUCUGCCGAAGACCGCAAACCCUACUUUUUGCCGCCUCUCACAGAGCUUCUGCUUUUCAUUGCCGAUAAUCAGGGACGUUUUUCUAACUCUCUUUAUUUU
rnacentral:lncRNA from 1 species